CAGCUGUGUGGAUUCUUACCAGUCAGACUCUGACCAUACUCCAGGACUCAGUAGAUGCUUGGUAUGACCAGAGCCUGACUGUACACUGACCCAG
rnacentral:pre_miRNA from 1 species